CGGCGGACGGGUGAGUAAUGCUUAGGAAUCUGCCUAUUAGUGGGGGACAACAUUCCGAAAGGAAUGCUAAUACCGCAUACGUCCUACGGGAGAAAGCAGGGGAUCUUCGGACCUUGCGCUAAUAGAUGAGCCUAAGUCGGAUUAGCUAGUUGGUGGGGUAAAGGCCUACCAAGGCGACGAUCUGUAGCGGGUCUGAGAGGAUGAUCCGCCACACUGGGACUGAGACACGGCCCAGACUCCUACGGGAGGCAGCAGUGGGGAAUAUUGGACAAUGGGGGGAACCCUGAUCCAGCCAUGCCGCGUGUGUGAAGAAGGCCUUAUGGUUGUAAAGCACUUUAAGCGAGGAGGAGGCUACUGAGACUAAUACUCUUGGAUAGUGGACGUUACUCGCAGAAUAAGCACCGGCUAACUCUGUGCCAGCAGCCGCGGUAAUACAGAGGGUGCGAGCGUUAAUCGGAUUUACUGGGCGUAAAGCGUGCGUAGGCGGCUUUUUAAGUCGGAUGUGAAAUCCCCGAGCUUAACUUGGGAAUUGCAUUCGAUACUGGGAAGCUAGAGUAUGGGAGAGGAUGGUAGAAUUCCAGGUGUAGCGGUGAAAUGCGUAGAGAUCUGGAGGAAUACCGAUGGCGAAGGCAGCCAUCUGGCCUAAUACUGACGCUGAGGUACGAAAGCAUGGGGAGCAAACAGGAUUAGAUACCCUGGUAGUCCAUGCUGUAAACGAUGU
rnacentral:rRNA from 1 species